rnacentral:tRNA from 1 species
GGGAUCGUAGGCAUCUGGGGAGGCCGCUACGUUGUCAGCGUAGGUCGAGGCGAGUUCGAUUCUCGUCGGUCCCG